rnacentral:rRNA from 1 species
GUCCACACCGUAAACGAUGAAUGCUAGGUGUAGGGGUGCAAACCUCUGUGCCGCAGUUAACACAAUAAGCAUUCCACCUGGGGAGUACGGCCGCAAGGUUGAAACUCAAAGGAAUUGACGGGAGCCCGCACAAGCAGUGGAGUAUGUGGUUUAAUUCGACGCAACGCGAAGAACCUUACCAAAAUUUGACAUCCCAGGAACCCGGCGUAAUGGCUGGGGUGCCCUUCGGGGAAUCUGGUGACAGGUGGUGCAUGGUUGUCGU